rnacentral:rRNA from 1 species
UACGUAGGGUCCGAGCGUUGUCCGGAAUUAUUGGGCGUAAAGGGCUCGUAGGCGGUCUGUUGCGUCAGGAGUGAAAACUCGGGGCUUAACCCCGAGCCUGCUUCUGAUACGGGCAGACUAGAGGUAUGCAGGGGAGAACGGAAUUCCUGGUGUAGCGGUGAAAUGCGCAGAUAUCAGGAAGAACACCGAUGGCGAAGGCAGCUCUCUGGGACGGUACUGACGCUGAGGAGCGAAAGUGUGGGGAGCGAACAGG